ACCCCGUCAUUUUUCCCCCUCCCUCCCACGCACUCUCCAAAUUCUUCAGAGAAACCCUAAACCCUCCCCUUCUCCAUCGAUCUGUUCUCUCCAUCUCUACAAAUUUCACCCUCGAUCCCACUCUCCCUCUCGAUCUGUUGCCUACUUGCCUCUUGAAGUUGAACCCACGCCCAAUUUCCCUACGAAUCAGAGAAGCCUGGGUGGUGGCUCAGGCCUUGAAGAACCUCGGCGAGACAGAGGUUGUGUCGGCGAUUCUUGGGGGAAAUAUUCUGAGGCUGGGAUUCCUCUCGAGUUGGGGCUGGUUGGUAGGCAAGUCAUUUGUCGAUUCACCACUGCACUCGAUCUUUCUUCUCUCUUCGAUUCUACUCUCUGUCUCCAACGCUCUCCUCCAUGGUUGCCCUCCUCCACCGCGCCGCUCUCCUCCACUGUCACCCUCCUCCACCACGCCGCUCUCCUCCACCACUGUUUGCCCUCCUCCACCGCCGUUCUCCUCUCCUCCGUCGAUUUCAAAUUCUGGAACGCUGAAAUAGGAUUCUCUUAUGGUUUCGUUUGAUUUAGUCAGUUCCAAUCAAUUUCAGACAUUCAAAGAAGUUGAUACAAAGCUUGAUGGGAAGAUUGACUUGGAAGAAUGGAAAGAACAUGUCGUGAAGCGUCGAUCUUAUUUAUUUAGAAUGCUAAAUGUGAGUUGUUCUAAUGUUUUGGUUUAAUGAUUUAAUGAUUUACAGGAUUAUUAUUGUGGGAAAAGCCCUACAAGGGAAAGAGUUCGGAAAAGAAGACAUGAUACACUGUUAGUCAUAGAUACAUGUACUGCUCUUUCCUUUAUCGUGCUUCACAGCUUCAUAUGAGUUGAUGUAGAUGUGCAUCUUGUAAUUGAAUAAGUUUUCUAGUACUUCUUUUCAUUUGCCUAUUGUUUUUUGAACUUCUUUUUGCUAGUGGAGAGUGUAUCUUGGCCCCAGGAUCUAGAAUCUCAAAUAAAUCAUGGUUUUCUUAAACUUAAA